rnacentral:rRNA from 1 species
UGGGGAAUAUUGCACAAUGGGCGAAAGCCUGAUGCAGCGACGCCGCGUGAGGGAUGACGGCCUUCGGGUUGUAAACCUCUUUCAGCAGGGACGAAGCGCAAGUGACGGUACCUGCAGAAGAAGCACCGGCUAACUACGUGCCAGCAGCCGCGGUAAUACGUAGGGUGCAAGCGUUGUCCGGAAUUACUGGGCGUAAAGAGUUCGUAGGCGGUUUGUCGCGUCGUUUGUGAAAACCAGCAGCUCAACUGCUGGCUUGCAGGCGAUACGGGCAGACUUGAGUACUGCAGGGGAGACUGGAAGUCUUGGUGUAGCGGUGAAAUGCGCAGAUAUCAGGAGGAACACCGGUGGCGAAGGCGGGUCUCUGGGCAGUAACUGACGCUGAGGAACGAAAGCGUGGGUAGCGAACAGG